AGUGAACGCUGGCGGUAGGCCUAACACAUGCAAGUCGAACGGCAGCACAGUAAGAGCUUGCUCUUACGGGUGGCGAGUGGCGGACGGGUGAGGAAUACAUCGGAAUCUACUUUUUCGUGGGGGAUAACGUAGGGAAACUUACGCUAAUACCGCAUAUGACCUACGGGUGAAAGCAGGGGAUCUUCGGACCUUGCGCGAUUGAAUGAGCCGAUGUCGGAUUAGCUAGUUGGCGGGGUAAAGGCCCACCAAGGCGACGAUCCGUAGCUGGUCUGAGAGGAUGAUCAGCCACACUGGAACUGAGACAUGGUCCAGACUCCUACGGGAGGCAGCAGUGGGGAAUAUUGGACAAUGGGCGCAAGCCUGAUCCAGCCAUACCGCGUGGGUGAAGAAGGCCUUCGGGUUGUAAAGCCCUUUUGUUGGGAAAGAAAAGCAGCAGGUUAAUACCCCGCUGUUCUGACGGUACCCAAAGAAUAAGCACCGGCUAACUUCGUG
rnacentral:rRNA from 1 species